GACAGAGGGUGCAAACGUUGUUCGGAAUUACUGGGCGUAAAGCGUGUGUAGGCGGCCACGUAAGUCGGAUGUGAAAGCCCCGGGCUCAACCCGGGAAGUGCACUCGAUACUGCGUGGCUUGAGUACUGGAGAGGUUGGUGGAAUUCUUGGUGUAGAGGUGAAAUUCGUAGAUAUCAAGCGGAACACCGGUGGCGAAGGCGGCCUUCUGGACAGUGACUGACGCUGAGACGCGAAAGCGUGGGGAGCAAACAGG
rnacentral:rRNA from 1 species